GACGAACGCUGGCGGCAUGCCUAAUACAUGCAAGUCGAGCGGACUUGAUGAGAAGCUUGCUUCUCUGAUGGUUAGCGGCGGACGGGUGAGUAACACGUAGGCAACCUGCCCUCAAGCUUGGGACAACUACCGGAAACGGUAGCUAAUACCGAAUACUUGUUUUCUUCGCCUGAAGGAAACUGGAAAGACGGAGCAAUCUGUCACUUGAGGAUGGGCCUGCGGCGCAUUAGCUAGUUGGGGAGGUAACGGCUCACCAAGGCGACGAUGCGUAGCCGACCUGAGAGGGUGAUCGGCCACACUGGGACUGAGACACGGCCCAGACUCCUACGGGAGGCAGCAGUGGGGAAUUUUUCACAAUGGGCGCAAGCCUGAUGAAGCCACGCCGCGUGCGGGAUGAAGGCCCUCUGGGUUGUAAACCGCUGUCGAGGGAGGGGAACCGCUGAACGUGAAUAGCGUUCAGUCUGACUGCUCCCUGAAGGAAGCCCCGGCAAAACAUGUGCCAGCCGCCGCAGUAAAAC
rnacentral:rRNA from 1 species